AACGAACGCUGGCGGCAGGCUUAACACAUGCAAGUCGAGCGCCCCGCAAGGGGAGCGGCCGACGGGUGAGUACCGCGUGGGAACGUACCUUUUGGUUCGGAACAACUCCGGGAAACUGGAGCUAAUACCGGAUAAGCCCUAACGGGGAAAGAUUUAUCGCCGAAAGAUCGGCCCGCGUCUGAUUAGCUAGUUGGUGAGGUAACGGCUCACCAAGGCGACGAUCAGUAGCUGGUCUGAGAGGAUGAUCAGCCACACUGGGACUGAGACACGGCCCAGACUCCUACGGGAGGCAGCAGUGGGGAAUAUUGGACAAUGGGCGCAAGCCUGAUCUAGCCAUGCCGCGUGAGUGAUGAAGGCCUUAGGGUUGUAAAGCUCUUUUGUCCGGGAAGAUAAUGACUGUACCGGAAGAAUAAGCCCCGGCUAACUUCGUG
rnacentral:rRNA from 1 species